rnacentral:misc_RNA from 1 species
GUCGAGGACGGCGCGGGUGUCGGGGCCGCGGUCGCAGUAGUCGCCGAGGAAGAGGACGAGGGCGGUGGAGAAGGCUACAGGGGGGAGGGAGAGCUGGAGAUUUGACCAGAGGUGGUGGAGCUUGGCAGAGUAGCCGUGGAUGUCGCCGAUGAGUAGGACGGAGCGCGGCGGCGACGGGUCGGAGGGGGCGGCCAUUCGGGGAGUAUUCGAGGAGUACGUGGCUUCUCUUCUUCGCUCGCUU